UAAGGGAAGAGCCGUGGCGAAGUGAAAGACGGUGUGUGUGUGUGUACCAGAGGAGGAAAAUGUGUUUUAUACCGAGAGUCCUCUUUCUCCAACAUAAGUGCAGGCUCAUUUCUGUGUAUUUACAAUUCAAAUCUAAAACCCCCCAGUGACGUGAGGGGUUGGAGGUGGGGUGGAUUGGUGUGUUGAAGGAGCUCUGAGCCCUUUAGGAAUGGGAGGAUCAAAUGUUGCUACAGUGUUGAGUAUCCAUAGCGAGCGUCACCACAGGAGGAUAUGAGGAGCCUUAGCAAAAUCAUUGAUACGGCAAGAAACUCGAAUCUCAUGAUCCUUGUUCAGAGGAUUAAGAUAUUUGCUGCGCCUGAGUGUGCCCUGAAGAGUGUGCCACGGAGCUCAUUUUUCUUAAUUACGAAACGAGUGUUAUCCGCAAGGAAAUACCUUGUGAGCAGGUUUUGCGUUUCUGUAAAGAAGAUGAAGGAAAGCAACAGCGGCUAUAAAAACCCGAGACUGGAAUUCAUCACGUGGGAUUAAGUUGCAGAAGUUGGCAGAUGGGGUAACUCUUCCGGGAAAAGAAGGUGCAGGGAAAAUUGUGGAGGAUUAUGGACCAAAUUGGCCAGUGUCUAAGAAAGAGGAAAUUCAUCCGUAUUGUCAGACUCCUCGGAUCCAACAUCGGAUAACGUUAUAGCUGGCCCUACUUGUUGAUAAACUAUCAAGAUCUGUAAGACAAUGGUAAACUGUGGACGCAUUCUCUGAUGGAUAAAAUAAUCUCGUAAGGGAUGAGUUACAGCUUAUGCAAUACAAACAGUUGAUAUCUGCUCUGUGCAACUAUUCAAAAGAAUGAUCAGUUUGAACAUGCAAUUUUCCUGUUAAGAUGUAAAACAGAAAGUGAAAAAUCCUUGUGAUUAAUAAGUCAGAUUUUCUUCUUACGCCGUCCUUUAUCUGAGAUCUAAAGGUCUCACCGAGGUAAAGAACACCACAAGCGACACCUCGUUUAUACUCACCGAAGAUGCGCUGUUCGUUCAUUGGAAACAAGCCUGGACAUGCGUAAUCCGUACCUUUGUCCUCGAAGUUGUUUGCAAAUCCUACAUUCUGAAUGUUCCUAGCUGACGUAAAAAAUACCACUUUAUAUUCGUACAUUGACUUAUAGAGGCAAGCAUUACCGUCAGUAUCGUUCACAUGACCGUAAAAAAAACACUGAAGACUAUGUAGAAACAUAAACGUAUCUCUUCGAAAUAAAAUGUAUUAAUCGAAUCUUAUCUAAUUAUCUUACUAUCAAAAAAAGAAACAGACUAAUUUCAAAAUAAUGCGCAAACAUUUCGCAAUUGUCAUAAAUAUACAUAGACAUAGUUUUAAACGUUAUGUUAUUUGUUAUUCUGCUCUGUUAAUCAGACACUGACCGUCGAAGACAGUGUAGGUUAAGAGGGCCUUGAUUUUUUUUUUACUUUGAUGUGGUCAGUAAGUGCAAUGUUUAGCCUGUAUGUUGAAAUUCUCCUAAUCUAUACACCUUAAAUGAAACGUAUAUCUUAAAAGAUGGUGUCAGUUAUCUUACGUAGAUAACGCCCAUUUCUAACAUUACGUGUGUUCUUAAUGUAUAUUAAACUCUGUAUAUAAGUACCAAUAUAACGGAAUACAAAUUUUCCCUAUGGUAAAGUAUUUGACUCGUACCCAUGUGGUCAUGGGACUGAAUUCUAGUCAAGAAAAAGUUUUGUUUCAUGCAGAUGCCAGUUAUAUUCCAGAAUUAAGUUUAUCUUUGUACCGUUGUUAGGAUUAAAAUUGUCUUCAAAGAAGUCAGUAAAUUUCCUUUCGGUCUAACACCGAAAGCUGCAAAAUGGAUUGUUUAAAAAUGUUUUUAAGCAUCUUUUCAAAUUGACUUUCACUUCUAUAUGCAUAUCACUAGAAUCAACUUAAAAAGAAUAUAACAUCAUAACGUAAAUUGCAUCUUGGAUACGCGGAUUAAAGAAGACAAUUCCACGAACAGUGGACAAAAACACCGCGUGUACGAAAAGAACUCGAUGCAUUUCAACACGCAACAACACUCACCUUCUGACUGCAAUAAAUAAUACGGAAACGAAUGUGUACCGACUACGGAAAUACCAACUUUGAAACUCGAUAAAUGCUUCACCCCUGCUACAUAUGAACUGUGAAUAAAGUUUUUGUUUUAAACUA